rnacentral:rRNA from 1 species
GACGAACGCUGGCGGCGUGCUUAACACAUGCAAGUCGUGCGGUAAGGCCCUUUCGGGGGUACACGAGCGGCGAACGGGUGCGUAACACGUGAGCAACCUGCCCUUCACUUUGGGAUAACUGCCGGAAACGGUGGCUAAUACCGGAUAUGACUUCCUCACGCAUGUGGGGUGGUGGAAAGCCUUCGGGUGGUGGGGGAUGGGCUCGCGGUCUAUCAGCUUGUUGGUGGGGUGAUGGCAUACCAAGGCUUCGACGGGUAGCCGGCCUGAGAGGGUGACCGGCCACACUGGGACUGAGAGACGGCCCAGACUGCUACGGGAGGCAGCAGUGGGGAAUAUUGGACAAUGGGCGAAAGCCUGAUCCAGCAACGCCGCGUGCGGGAUGACGGCCUUCGGGUUGUAAACCUCUUUCGCCUGCGACGAAGCGAGAGUGACGGUAGCAGGUAAAGAAGCACCGGCCAACUACGUG